rnacentral:rRNA from 1 species
AGAGAGAGCUUGCUUUCUCGAGCGAGUGGCGGACGGGUGAGUAACGCGUGGGUAACCUGCCUCACACUGGGGGAUAACAGUUAGAAAUAGCUGCUAAUACCGCAUAAGCGCACGGUUCCGCAUGGAACAGUGUGAAAAACUCCGGUGGUGUGAGAUGGACUCGCGUCCAAUUAGCUAGUUGGUGAGGUAACGGCCCACCAAGGCGACGAUCAGUAGCCGGCCUGAGAGGGCGAACGGCCACAUUGGGACUGAGACACGGCCCAGACUCC